rnacentral:rRNA from 1 species
UACGUAGGGUGCAGGCGUUAAUCGGAAUUACUGGGCGUAAAGCGUGCGCAGGCGGUUUGCUAAGACAGGUGUGUAAUCCCCGGGCUUAACCUGGGAACUGCGCUUGUAACUGGCAAGCUAGAGUGUGGCAGAGGGGGGUGGAAUUCCACGUGUAGCAGUGAAAUGCGUAGAGAUGUGGAGGAACACCGAUGGCGAAGGCAGCCCCCUGGGCUAACACUGACGCUCAUGCACGAAAGCGUGGGGAGCAAACAGG